CCUGGAGAGCAGACCCAGCAGAGAGAGCCGGUCCUUGGGGAAGGCCUGCAGUCCCGUCAUGGGAUCUUCAAGAAAAGGUGCUUGUAUUCAUGCUUUGGCGGUCACUGGAGCCUAGAAAUGUCAACAAGGAGACUUGCUUCUGAAACCCUUCUCGUGUG
rnacentral:lncRNA from 1 species